GACGAACGCUGGCGGCGUGCUUAACACAUGCAAGUCGAACGGAAAGGCCCUUCGGGGUACUCGAGUGGCGAACGGGUGAGUAACACGUGGGUGAUCUGCCCUGCACUUUGGGAUAAGCCUGGGACACUGGGUCUAAUACCGAAUAGGACCACGCGCUUCAUGGCGUGUGGUGGAAAGCUUUUGCGGUGUGGGAUGGGCCCGCGGCCUAUCAGCUUGUUGGUGGGGUAAUGGCCUACCAAGGCGACGACGGGUAGCCGGCCUGAGAGGGUGACCGGCCACACUGGGACUGAGAUACGGCCCAGACUCCUACGGGAGGCAGCAGUGGGGAAUAUUGCACAAUGGGCGCAAGCCUGAUGCAGCGACGCCGCGUGAGGGAUGACGGCCUUCGGGUUGUAAACCUCUUUCACCAGGGACGAAGCGUAAGUGACGGUACCUGGAGAAGAAGCACCGGCCAACUACGUG
rnacentral:rRNA from 1 species